GGAGUUGUAGCUCAGUGGUAGAGCACUUGCUUUGCAAGUGUGAGGCACUGGGUUUGAUUCUCAGCACCA
rfam:Ictidomys tridecemlineatus contig014041, whole genome shotgun sequence.